rnacentral:rRNA from 1 species
GACGAACGCUGGCGGCGUGCCUAAUACAUGCAAGUAGAACGCUGAAGAGAGGAGCUUGCUCUUCUUGGAUGAGUUGCGAACGGGUGAGUAACGCGUAGGUAACCUGCCUGGUAGCGGGGGAUAACUAUUGGAAACGAUAGCUAAUACCGCAUAAAAUUGAUUAUUGCAUGAUAAUUAAUUGAAAGAUGCAACUGCAUCACUACCAGAUGGACCUGCGUUGUAUUAGCUAGUUGGUGAGGUAACGGCUCACCAAGGCGACGAUACAUAGCCGACCUGAGAGGGUGAUCGGCCACACUGGGACUGGGACACGGCCCAGACUCCUACGGGAGGCAGCAGUAGGGAAUCUUCGGCAAUGGGGGGAACCCUGACCGGGCAACGCCGCGUGAGUGAAGAAGGUUUUCGGAUCGUAAAGCUCUGUUGUAAGAGAAGAACGGGUGUGAGAGUGGAAAGUUCACACUGUGACGGUAUCUUACCAGAAAGGGACGGCUAACUACGUG